UUCUAUCUUGAGAUCUCCCCUCUUGGAGUUCUUCUGUGAGCCCAGGACAUGGAACCAAGACAUACUCUCAUACCAAACACUCUGAAGAAAGCAAUUCCAUCACAGCUGAAACUAAAACAGCUAACAAGGACAUGAGACCCAGUGAAGUGCAGAAUACCACCUCUCUGCUACUUGUGAUGAAGAGCUAUCAUGUCUGCAACCAUAACAGGCAUUCAGUUUGAUACCUCAAGAGUUGGUUUUAAGUGGAUGGAUACCUAACUGUUUGCAACCUAGACAUGAUUCAUCCUCUUGUUCCAACUGAAGAGGAACAGUCACUUUUAGAAUACCAGUCUGCAUUCUCAAGAUGCUUAAAGCAAAACUGAUGAAUGACACUGCCUAUUCUUCUCUCUUAACUACAACAGGAAGUUGGGUACUGCUGAGGCCAUUCAGGAUCCUCUGGUAAAUAAUCCUUGUUUCAUGAAGCACUGUUACAACCAAAAUCAGAUAGAAGAUCUGUACAGAGGAGCGUCUACCCAGCAACUUUUCCAACUGAAAAAGGAAAGAAAAGGCCAGCAGCACCCUGUAAGCACAAAAGUCCACCUUGUAACAGCAUCCCCACAUCUCCCCUGAGGAGCAUGGGACUGUUCCUGGCUGCCAUCAUUGACAAGACUCUAGACAAGGAUGCUAGUCCCAAACCCCUCUCAGGACUGCAUUUAUGGGUAGUUGACUUUGGAGGUAGAGAGUCUUUGGCUUGGGGUAUUUUUUCUCCUCAAGUAUACAUCUGUCUAGAUGGCCCAAAUAAUCUUACUGGUUUCCUUACCCUCAAGAAUGCAAUGACACAAGUAAUGUGAUUUCCCACCUCUUUAAGGCGUUGAUCUGAAAAAUAUCCGGGCAGGACUUUUCCUUCUACAUUGAAACCCAAUUGUGAACACAAACAGACCCAGUAAAGGGCAUUUUGAGUUUUCUGUCAUUAUGAAUGAUGAGAGAAGAUGGGCUGAUUCUUCUUAAAAAAGCAGAAGACAGGAGAAGGAGAGAAUGGGAAAGGUUGUCACCAGAAAGAUUUUCUACGAUUAAUACUCAGUGAUGCUUUUUGUCUUCUUAGCCCUUGGCUUGCAAUGAGCAGUGAUGGGGAAGCAUGAGAAUGCUUUGUGUUGGGAGAAAGACAGCCUCCUGGCUGUCUGUGCUGGCUCCUCUUCCUGGCAUGCUACCUGCAUCUGCACAUUUUCACGGGGUGAGGCUGAUGUUGGUGCCUCUUUGCAUAGCAGUAGCUGGUUGGCACAACUUUUGCUGUCUCACGAGAAAGCAGCAAAAGUGUUAAGCACAUGUUAUGGCAGCAAUGUAUAGUAGAACCUGAAACACCAACAUGCUCCAUCUAAAUAUGAACAGUACUUGCAAAGAUUAUUCAAACAUGAUAGUAUCACUCUGGACUCUGACUUUGCUAGUCUCUAGACAUAUCUGGGCCAUACGGCAGCUCCAUCCCAAUUAUCACAUUAGUGAUACCAGAUGAAGGGCAUGUGCCAUACAUGUACACACACUGAAGGGUCAGAUUGAGCGUGUUUUGGAUCUGAUGGCCCAAGUAAACAUCUCUUGAUGUUAUCAAGUAUACUCCCAGAGCAAGGCAAUAUGGAUGCUUGAGGAAUGAGGCCAUGGAAGCACGUAACCAACAUGGUUAGUAGACAACAGACCUCCUCUUUGUCAUCAUUUUAGGUUUUUUUACUCCUUGCCAGUUUUAUUUCCAAAAAAUACAGAUCUUCAUCAAUUCUACUUCUCUCAAACUAGGUAACUGAAACGUAAAGCUGCAGUAAUAGUUGUUACUCAGAGAAACUCGGAGCAGAUUCCACAUCAUUUGAAAUCCCUUGUGCAGUUCUUUGUUCUUUACUUUGGAUGUUUUUUUCCAUUAUAGACUGCAAUUCUGUCAAUGGGGGGUUGACAGGUAAUUCAUAUUUCAGUGUGUGUCCAUAGCAACAUUUAUUUAAUUAGAACAUAAUGCACAUGCCACAGUGGCAACAAAUUCAGAGUAUCACAACUAAUUUGAAAAAUAAUAAUUACACCUUUCCACACUGUGAACAAAGAGAUCGCUAGCAAUAUCUCUAGCCUCAAAUAAUUAUUAAGUCUGCUCC
ensembl:lncRNA